AAAAUACCAUUGUAGGUAUUUGAAGCAGGAAGGGAUUUAUACCGAGAAUCUGAGUCCUUACAUAAAACUGCUGUAAAGGGGAAGAGAAUAAAGGUUAGGGCAGCUCCUCACAGCAUACAGAAAAUCAGGAAGUUCAAGGAUUCCAACAAAUCUGAGCCAAUAAUCUCAGCUUCCUACAGCAGCAAAGUGGCAUUCAAAAGCAUACCUAGGAACUUCUGGCAAAACCUCAUGUCUGCACUUUGCCAGAGCUUACAUGCUUUGCCUACAGCUGCUGAGUCAAUGAUAGCUUCUCCUUCUGUUCUAAAUCUCAAGGAGGGCCCUCAUUCCUGGAACCUACACUAGACACCUGAUGACAAAGCAGUUUGGAAAAUAUACUUUCUGGGCUUCCAGACCCUGUAAUGUGUAGCGAGGGGAUAGACAGGGGUGCAACUCUUGCUACUCUCCCAAAAGAAAAUCCAGCACAAAGAUUUAAAUUGUCUAUAGUCAAAUGCAAAUGUGUGGACACUUCCUCCUUUUGUUACGUUAUUGUUAUUGUUGUUGUUGUCAUUGUCAUCUCUCUAAAAAUCUCAAGUUCAAGAAUUCCUCUAGAUACCAUCACAGAAGGACAUGUGGACUAGAUCAACGCUCCUGCCUACUUGUUCUCUCGCAAAGCUUGUCCCUGAAGAGUUUAUCUCCUAUAAGGGCAAUGGAAGUUCAGGCUCCAAAAAGCCACCUAGGAAGAUGACCCAUGGCCAACUCAAAAUCCACACCCCUUCCCUUCGGUAACUUAGCAGUAACUGUACCAGAGGACUUUGCCAAAAGCAACAUGGCGGAAGUUGUGCAAGGAGAGAAGAGAAGGGAUAUUCUGUCAUCAGAUUUUCCAUCCCAGAAGUCUAGAUGGAAUUAUAAAGCCUUGAAAAAUAAUAAAAGUUGAUAAAAAUUC